rnacentral:rRNA from 1 species
GUAGUUAGCCGGAGCUUCCUCCUUGGCUACCAUCUUCUUCUUUUCACCAAGGACAGAGGUUUACAAUCCGAAGACCUUCUUCCCUCACGCGGCGUUGCUGGGUCAGGCUUGCGCCCAUUGCCCAAUAUUCCCCACUGCUGCCUCCCGUAGGAGUCUGGACCGUAUCUCAGUUCCAAUGUGGCCGAUCACCCUCUCAGGUCGGCUACCCAUCGCUGACUUGGUGGGCCGUUACCUCACCAACUAUCUAAUGGGACGCGAGCCCACCUUCUACCGGAUUUCUCCUUUGACCUCAUCCUGAUGUCAGGUCGUGGUCUUAUGCGGUAUUAGCAACCGUUUCCGGUUGUUAUCCCCCUCUACUGGGCAGGUUGUUCACGCGUUACUCACCCGUUCGCCACUAAGUUAUCAACCGAAAUCAAUAACUCCGUUCGACUUGCAUGUGUUAGGCACGCCGCCAGCGUUCGUCCUCGAGCCACUGAUCAAACUACUGA